rnacentral:rRNA from 1 species
UACGUAGGGGGCUAGCGUUGUCCGGAAUCAUUGGGCGUAAAGCACGCGUAGGCGGCCAGAUAAGUCCGGUGUGAAAGUCACAGGCUCAACCUGUGAAUGCCGCUGGAAACUGUCUGGCUUGAGUCCGGAAGGGGCGAGUGGAAUUCCUGGUGUAGCGGUGAAAUGCGCAGAUAUCAGGAGGAACACCAAUGGCGAAGGCAGCUCGCUGGAACGGUACUGACGCUGAGGCGCGAAAGCUAGGGGAGCAAACGGG